GCCGCGUGAGUGAGAAGGCCCUUGGGUCGUAAAGCUCUUUUAUGGGGGAAGAUGAUGACGGUACCCCAAGAAUAAGCACCGGCUAACUACGUGCCAGCAGCCGCGGUAAUACUUAGGGUGCGAGCGUUGUUCGGAAUUACUGGGCGUAAAGGGCGCGCAGGCGGAAUAGUAAGUCGGAGGUGAAAGCCCGGGGCUCAACCCCGGAGGGUCUUUCGAAACUGCUACUCUAGAGAGGGUCAGGGGCCGGCAGAAUUCCUGGUGUAAAGGUGAAAUUCGUAUAUAUCAGGAGGAAUACCGGUGGCGAAAGCGGCCGGCUGGGGCCACUCUGACGCUGAGGCGCGAAAGCGUGGGGAGCAAACAGGAUUAAAUACCCUGGUAGUC
rnacentral:rRNA from 1 species